rnacentral:rRNA from 1 species
UACGUAGGGUGCGAGCGUUGUCCGGAAUUAUUGGGCGUAAAGGGCUCGUAGGCGGUUUGUCGCGUCGGGAGUGAAAACUCAGGGCUUAACCCUGAGCCUGCUUCCGAUACGGGCAGACUAGAGGUAUGCAGGGGAGAACGGAAUUCCUGGUGUAGCGGUGAAAUGCGCAGAUAUCAGGAGGAACACCAGCGGCGAAGGCGGCGCUCUGGGCCGGUACUGACACUGAGGAGCGAAAGCUAGGGUAGCAAACGGG